AAUUUUGGACAAUGGGGGCAACCCUGAUCCAGCCAUCCCGCGUGUAUGAUGAAGGCCUUCGGGUUGUAAAGUACUUUUGGCAGAGAAGAAAAGGUAUCCCCUAAUACGGGAUACUGCUGAUGGUAUCUGUAGAAUAAGCACCGGCUAACGAAGUGUCAGCCGCCGAGGUAAUACGUAGGGUGCAAGCGUUAAUCAGAAUUACUGUGCAUAAAGCGUGUGUAGGCGGUUCGGAAAGAAAGAUGUGAAAACCCAGGGCUCAACCUUGGAACUGCAUUUUUAACUGCCGAGCUAGAGUAUGUCAGAGGGGGGUAGAAUUCCACGUGUAGCAGUGAAAUGCGUAGAUAUGUGGAGGAAUACCGAUGGCGAAGGCAGCCCCCUGGGAUAAUACUGACGCUCAGACACGAAAGCGUGGGGAGCAAACAGG
rnacentral:rRNA from 1 species